GUUCCCAUGACACCCAUGGACUUUGAAGUGACCAAAAAAAAAUCUUCUCAAAGAACACCUAAUCUUUGGGACCGAUCCAAGUGCCACAGUGUCUAUGCAAUUCACAAAGGCCACUUGGAAUAUCUGAGAGAGUUAGGUGUGUCUGUGAAGUCCGUCACAGCUCUCGACUAGCUAAAUAAGUGUUAAAGGAGUUGUUUUACAUUUUCAGUAAUUGAUAAAAGAGAAGUAAAUCUGCUUUUUUUUUGGGCCACACCUUUAGACAUGUUAUUUUGUGUUUUAGGGUGGUCAUCUUUCAUUAUAUACCACCAUAAAAUUCAUUUUUAGCAUUGUUAAAUGAUCC